AUUGAACGCUGGCGGCAGGCCUAACACAUGCAAGUCGAGCGAGCGGCGGACGGGUGAGUAAUGUCUGGGAAACUGCCGGUUGGAGGGGGAUAACUACUGGAAACGGUAGUUAAUACCGCAUACCAUCAGAUGUGCCCAGAUGGGUUUAGCUAGUGGGUGGGGUAAUGGCUCACCUAGGCGACGAUCCCUAGCUGGUCUGAGAGGAUGACCAGCCACACUGGAACUGAGACACGGCCCAGACUCCUACGGGAGGCAGCAGUGGGGAAUAUUGCACAAUGGGCGCAAGCCUGAUGCAGCCAUGCCGCGUGUGUGAAGAAGGCCUUCGGGUUGUAAAGCACUUUCAGCGGGGAGGCGUUACCCGCAGAAGAAGCACCGGCUAACUCCGUGCCAGCAGCCGCGGUAAUAC
rnacentral:rRNA from 1 species